rnacentral:rRNA from 1 species
UACGUAGGGUGCAAGCGUUGUCCGGAAUUAUUGGGCGUAAAGAGCUCGUAGGCGGUUUGUCGCGUCGAAUGUGAAAACCCGGGGCUCAACCCCGGGCCUGCAUUCGAUACGGGCAGACUAGAGUUCGGUAGGGGAGUCUGGAAUUCCUGGUGUAGCGGUGAAAUGCGCAGAUAUCAGGAGGAACACCGGUGGCGAAGGCAGGUCUCUGGGCUGACACUGACGCUCAUGCACGAAAGCGUGGGGAGCAAACAGG